AAUCCCUUCAAAUAGCUUGUUGACAUAAUGAAGACCAAAUAAUAAACGACUGCUAUUGUCGCUUUGUUGUCGUGGACUAUUAAAGUUUACGGACGAAAUAAUGUCUAGUUGUCAUGUUGCAAAAUAUUAAUUCCAUUUCUUAUCGCCGUGUUUUUUAUACCUAUUUGUCCCUUAUUUACACGUAUGUAUUAAUAUCAUUUGAACGAAUGCAUUAAUAUAUGAGUUAUAGAAAAUUGGCGGAUUAUCUUCGAAAAAUAUUUUGACUCAAUUUGAAUCGUGUUACUCAACCCAUUAUAAUAAACGAACCUCAUGAAAUCGUUUACCGCUUCUCCUUAAUCCAUUUGUGUAAUACUGAAUGC